AGUCAGCAGGUGUAUCACCCGGUCAGCCUCACCUCCUGCACUAUGAAUUUUAUGCCGGUAAAGACGUGGAGAAGGCCGUCAACGACUUGUCACAGGCGACGAGCGGAGGGUCGUUGUACGUCCUCGCUGAUGAAGUACAGAGUGAGUGGAGUGAGAUAAUAAAGUUAAAUUGAAUUGAGACAGUCUCAGCUCUGGUCUCACUGUCAGGACAAAAUCCAAGAGAUUCAAGGGCUGAUCGAAAGCUGCAAGAUCGAUAUUUUGGUAGCUGAUAAUUACAUAGGAACG